GCUACCUCGCGAGAGGACGCCAAUCUCUUAAAACCAAUCUCAGUUCGGAUUGUAGGCUGCAACUCGCCUACAUGAAGUCGGAAUCGCUAGUAAUCGCGGAUCAGCAUGCCGCGGUGAAUACGUUCCCGGGCCUUGUACACACCGCCCGUCACACCACGGGAGUUUGCAACACCCGAAGUCGGUGAGGUAACCGCAAGGAGCCAGCCGCCGAAGGUGGGGUAGAUGACUGGGGUGAAGUCGUAACAAGGUAUCCGUACCGGAAGGUGCGGAUGGAUCACCUCCUUU
rnacentral:rRNA from 1 species